UGAGCAAUCUGCCCUUCUCAUCGGAAUAACCAUUGGAAACGAUGGCUAAUACCGAAUAUGACUUCGGAUCGCAUGAUCUGAAGUGGAAAGCUCCGGCGGUGAAGGAUGAGCUCGCGGCCUAUCAGCUAGUUGGUGUGGGUAAUGGCCCACCAAGGCGACGACGGGUAGCCGGCCUGAGAGGGUGACCGGCCACACUGGGACUGAGACACGGCCCAGAUCCUACGGG
rnacentral:rRNA from 1 species